GAUCUGGCUGCCCGCUGAUUAUAAUUGAAGGGCCGCGGUAUUCUGACCGUGCGAAGGUAGCAUAAUCAUUAGUCUUUUAAUUGAGGGCUUGUAUGAAUGGUCGGACGAGAAAUAAGCUGUCUCGGUUAUAUAAAUUGAAUUUAACUUUUAAGUGAAAAGGCUUAAAUGAUUUAGGGGGACGAUAAGACCCUAUAAAGCUUUACAGUUAUUUAGUUGAAUUAUAAAUUGUUAGUAUAAAGUUAAUUUAACUAAUGUUUGUUUCGUUGGGGUGACGAGAAUAUAAUUUUGUAAUUGUUCUUUUAUGUUUUAUUACAAUGAUUUUUGAUAUAAGAAUGAUCCUUUAUUAAAGAUUAAAAGAUUAAGUUACUUUAGGGAUAACAGCGUAAUCUUCUUUGAAAGUUCAUAUCGACAAGAAGGGUUGCGACCUCGAUGUUGAAUUAAGAAAUCUCCGUGGUGCAGUAGUUACGGUUAGAAGGUCUGUUCGACCUUUAAAUUCUUACGUGAUCUGAGUCCAGGACCGGA
rnacentral:rRNA from 1 species